AACGCAUCUUGCGCUCCUUGGUAUUCCGAGGAGCAUGCCUGUUUGAGUGUCAUUUUGAACUCUCAAAGCCCACAUUUUGACGUGGCUUUGGACUUGAGGGCUUUUGCAGGCUUUUUUUAAUGAAAGGCCUGCUCCCUUGAAAAUCAUCAGUGGUAUCUGGAGCGGAAACCGCUAGGUGUUGAUAAAAUUCAUCUAUGCCUUUGGGUAUGCCGCGCAAAUGUGCUGCUUCCAACGACCACAUGCUCUUUGACAAACUUGACCUCAAAUCAGGUAGGACUACCCGCUGAACUUAA
rnacentral:misc_RNA from 1 species